AGGACGAACGCUGGCGGCGUGCUUAACACAUGCAAGUCGAACGGUGAAGGAGAGCUUGCUCUCCGGAUCAGUGGCGAACGGGUGAGUAACACGUGAGUAACCUGCCCUUGACUCUGGGAUAAGCGUUGGAAACGACGUCUAAUACCGGAUACGAGCUUCAGCCGCAUGGCUAGGAGCUAGGAAAGAAUUUCGGUCAAGGAUGGACUCGCGGCCUAUCAGCUAGUUGGUGAGGUAAUGGCUCACCAAGGCGACGACGGGUAGCCGGCCUGAGAGGGUGACCGGCCACACUGGGACUGAGACACGGCCCAGACU
rnacentral:rRNA from 1 species